UGCUGGGAGGUGAAAGGUGAAAGGUGAUAACGGCGGGGGCCUGGUUCCAGGAAGAUGGCAGAGAGCGAGCGGCAGACAGGCUCUCCUGAGGAGGCAACUCCUCCCCUCUGCCAGAGCUUCAUGAUCCCCAAAAAGGAAAUACACAUGGUACCCGACAUGGCCAAGUGGAAACGCUCUCAGGCGUACGCAGACUACAUAGGUUUCAUCCUCACCCUGAACGAAGGUGUCAAGGGCAAGAAGCUGACCUGUGAAUACAAAGUAUCUGAGCCAAUUGAAAAGCUGGUGGAGCUCCUGGAUACCCUCGACAGGUGGAUUGAUGAGACCCCACCAGUGAACCAGCCCUCUCGCUUUGGGAAUAAGGCCUUCAGGACUUGGUACGCCAAACUAGACCAGGAAGCAGAAAACUUGGUUAAAACAGUGAUCCCCGAGCAUCUGGCUAAAGCUGCACCAGAGAUAGCUGUAUACCUGAAGGAAUCCGUGGGGAACUCCACCCGCAUCGACUAUGGGACAGGUCACGAAGCGGCAUUCGCUGCCUUUCUCUGUUGCCUGUGCAAAAUUGGUGUUCUCAGGGUGGAUGAUCAGCUGGCCAUUGUCUUCAAAGUGUUUAACAGGUACCUGGAGGUGAUGCGGAAACUCCAGAAAACUUACAGGAUGGAACCAGCUGGUAGCCAGGGAGUUUGGGGCCUGGAUGACUUCCAGUUUCUGCCCUUCAUAUGGGGCAGUUCCCAACUGAUAGAACACCCAAACCUGGAACCUCGGCACUUUGUUGAUGAGAAGGUGGUGAUUGAAAACCAUAAGGACUACAUGUUCCUGGAGUGUAUCCUGUUCAUUACAGAGAUGAAGACUGGCCCUUUCGCUGAACACUCCAACCAGCUGUGGAACAUCAGUGCUGUACCUUCCUGGUCCAAAGUGAACCAGGGCCUCGUCCGCAUGUACAAGGCAGAGGUUCCAGCCCACAUACCUCUCUAAUCUGUGAGGCGUCACUCCCAGGGACCGGGCUGGCUCCUUCCGGCUGCAGCUCAGCUUUCCUCUGAAGAGCUGGGAUCGCCAGGCAGUGGGUGCCUGGAGAAGUUUCCUGUGAUCCAGCACUUUAAGUUUGGCAGCCUGCUUCCUAUCCAGCCUGUCACAUCUUAAAGAGGCCGUGGGAGGAGUCAAUGCAGUGGAGACGACAGUGCGGCGCUCUUCCUCCUCCUUCCUUCCUUCCUUCCUCCUCACCUCUCCAGACCCACAGCCCAUUCAUCCCUUUGUAGAGAAAGUUACAAAGCACUUAGUGACCUUGCAUGAAAGAAGUGACCAAGAACAGCUGCUCAUGCAAGUGCUCCCCGCACUGACUAUAAAGUGACCAAACCAGUGCUGGGCUUCAAGCCUCCAGUGCGUUCAGUCUUACACUGUCCGUGGCUCGAAGGGCUGCCGCAUGCUGAGCUGGGCGGGAGGGUGGCUUGAAUGGGAUUUGCGUAGAGGAUACUUCUAGUAUGGCCUUCUAGGAAGACCUCUGCUUUUUAUCCCCUGGAGGUAGGGGGUUGGGAAGGGGAGGAAGGUGUGUAGUGGGGGUGGGGUGAUUACCGUUUCACUGGAAUCUUUUGCUGUCUUUUUUGAGGGACCCAAGGUGUGCAGAUCAGGCCUCUGAGUCCAUUAAAAAACAACAACAAAAAAGCCAGCUCUCGCUGUUGCGGCUGUGAAGAAAACCUUAGAAAGAGGUCCUGGGGUGUGAACAUGCCUGGGUGGCAGGAGGCCCCAGUGUCUAUGCUGCUGCCUUUGCUCGCAAAGGGUAUUUUGCAAGGGGUAGAAGAAGUGGUAGAAAAUCCCUGUGGGUCACAUGAAGCCAGGGUGCGCUCUCUCCCCUAGCCUGUGUAAGAAAAUGUCUUUUUUUUUUCUCCUCCAACCCCUAUCCCUGGCAAACUUCCUUGAGACUUCCUUUCACACCACCUUGUCCUCUCCAGGGUACCAGCUGGGAGCCCCACCCCUGUCAGCCUAGGUCCUAGGAUGCUGAGCUGGCUUUGGAGCUGGAGAUGGGCUCAGGGGAAGUCUUUGGAGACCAGAUGGUUGCAUUUCUGUGGGAAUGGCUCUGCAAAGACACUGUUCUAGCAGAGCCUGAGCCAGUUAUUUCCUGCCCUCCGUAGCUAAUGAGCAUAAACUCCACAGAGGGUACCCAUGCCCUCUCCAUCGGUACUUUGGGCUCAGCUGAAGCUGGGCACAGGCCCCUUCUCUACACCCACCUUUUCCUGUGUGAUGCUUAGCAGCCACUAGAAUGGGGGCAGCCUUAAUGUCCUCACUGUAAUUUAUCAUGGCUGCUUUUGCUUGAUUAUAAAUUGUAGUGACAGCCCUAUAAUAAAGGGAUUUUUCCCCUUCAGUAGCACAUCCUUACAUACCGUAGACUUUACUGUAGGGAGUGCAGCGUAUGGCAGGUAUAUUGGCUUUAAAUCUAUUAUUUAACUGCUGGAAACAAAAUGUGUGUCAAUGUCUUGGGGCAGCCUUUUGCAUUCUUAAAAAAAGUCUUUCACCUCCCUCAUUCCCUGCAACAGCUGCCACCCGUCCGGGGCAAACUGUACAAUUAUUUUUACCAAAACCCCCUUAAAGCACCAGACAUGCUUUGUGUUUCCCAAGAUGCGCAGGUUGUUUAGAAGGCUUAUUCAGCAUACUUAAUUCAUACAGUGGUUCUAGACUCUCACUUCCAGUGGCUUAGACUUAGGAGCAUCUCUGAUUAAAUGAGGGGCUUAGACAUGCCUUUGGUAAUUAGUAGUGCUAGAAAAGGAAUGACAGAAAACGGCUGGGAUGGAUUUGAGGUGAAACCUUACAUGAUCGCUUGAGCCUGACAAAGAUUCUUUUUAAGUUCCUAGCUUGAGAGGGCAAGUUUACUCCUGGGGUAUUAACAGACAUUGGUUUGGAGUGUGGCAGGGGUUAGCACCAACUGUGUGUAGCAGGGCUAGCAAGGGCACUUUUUUGUUUGGCUUUCUUAGCGAGUGCAAUGCCAGUUUUUUUCUCCCGCUGCUGUCAUCUGCAGCCAGCCUGCCUAACCUUUUCCAUCUGUGCCCCUUGAUUGCUGUUAAGUGAUGGAAAAAGUUUAUUUUGCUCAUGGAAUUGGGUUUUUCGCAAUUUUCUCUUUGGCUGCAUCCCCUAGAAUUAGCCUCGUCCCUCUCCAAAGCUUGUGACCUGCUGCUGGGGGAAGAAGGGAUGAGAAAUGCAUUUAAAUUUAAGGUGCAGUAUCUGUUUCCUGGGCUAAAAGGGCAAACCCUGGCCAAGCUGCAGCUGUUCUCUCUAUCCCAGUGGUUUGGGCCUGAGCUAGUGCAGCGUAGGACAAUGGCAGCUGAACUGAAUCUGCUCGUUUUGUUUUUUUACGUAGAGGGGUUUAUCAACUUACGUUUGAAAUAAAAUGUAAAAAGUCCACCCCCCGUUUUACUCCCAAAUCAUUAACAGGGUAUCUAGGUAGAGUUAAAUUACAAAUAAAUCCACUGGAAAAGUGAAUUAGGAAGCCUUUAACCUUUCAGGACCCCUGAGCAUUCUAUGUUCUGGUGCUGUAGGAUGCAGGGAUGCAGUUCAGGGACCAGAGCACAAUGUUCUAGACCGAGGAGGCCUGGCUCUCAUCUUGCCCUUACUGCCUCAUUGCAUGACUUUUGGCAAGUCCUACCAUGCACUAAAACAGGUCUAAUAGCAGCUGCCUGGCAGGCUGGGCAUGACUUAGGCUGAGAUUUUCAAAGUUGUCCAGGAGAUUUGGACACCAUAUUCCCUUCCAUUUUAAUGGGAAUUAGGCUUCCCGUUCAAACUAAAUGAAAGUUGAGACCUCAAUGUCUGCAAAGCUCUCUCUGAUCCUUGGUGAAAGAUGCAAUAAGAGUGCAAAAUAGAGCACUGAAAGGGUACAUUGCGUUAGGUUUUAGUGAUGGCGCCAACCUUUACUGGGGCCAGCCUAUAACUCUGAACAGGGGACGUAAGGAGGAGCUAAUAUGGAGUUGUUUAUUUAUGGACCAUCUAAGUCUGCACCCUCAUUCUGUCACGGAUUUGGAAUCUUAAGCAGCUAGUGUUUGUGUGAAUCCUGUUGGUCCACCUUUAACUUGCCCUCAAUAAUCUGGCAAUAGGCUGCUUCCAUUCCUUGGUCAUUACUGUGAUUCCUGUCAGAUCUCAACCGACGGCCUGUUUGAGUUUUGUCCCUUUCCCUGAGUGGUUCCACGUGCAUGCAUCAGACCACCUGCAACACCACCUGGCUUCCCCCAGGUCUGCAGAAGCAAUACCUGAGCAUCCCACCUCCCCAUGUUCUCCCAUGUUGUGGUUUUAAUUAAAAAUCUGUGUGUUUUGCA